CCUACGGGGGGCAGCAGUGGGGGAUAUUGGACAAUGGGGGAAACCCUGAUCCAGCGACGCCGCGUGAGUGAAGAAGUCUUUGUGUAUGUAAAGCUCUAUCAGCAGGGAAGAAAGAAAUGACGGUACCUGAGUACUAAGCCCCGGCUAACUACGUGCCAGCAGCCGCGGUAAUACGUAGGGGGCAAGCGUUAUCCGGAAUUACUGGGUGUAAAGGGAGCGUAGACGGUAAUGCAAGUCUGGAGUGAAAGGCGGGGGCCCACCCCCCGGACUGCUCUGGAUACUGUGUAACUGGAGUGCAGGAGAGGCAGGCGGAAUUCCUGGUGUAGCGGUGAAAUGCGUAGAUAUUAGGAGGAACACCAGUGGCGAAGGCGGCCUGCUGGACUGUAACUGACGUUGAGGCUCGAAAGCGUGGGGAGCAAACAGGAUUAGAUACCCGGGUAGUC
rnacentral:rRNA from 1 species